AAACCAGCGGGAGCUUCGGCAGGGCCUGCAGAGAGGACAAGCGAAGUUAGAGCCUAGUGUACUUGCCGCUGGGAGCUGGGCUAGGCCCCCAACCUUUGCCCUGAAGAUGCUGGCAGAGCAGGAUGUUGUAACGGGAAAUGCCAGAAAUACUGCAAGCAAAACUGAAAACAACCCAUCCAUGUAGGAAAGAAUAACACGGACUACACGUUAUUCAAGGACACCGAAAAGCCAACACCAUGGUAGCAUUAAUGAAAGUUUACCAAGAGGAAGAUGAAGCCUACCAGGAAUUAGUUACCGUGGCAACCACGUUCUUCCAGUACUUACUGCAGCCAUUUAGGGCUAUGCGAGAAGUUGCAACUUUAUAAGUCCUUGGAUGAGGAUGACCUAGGUCCUAGAAGGGUAGUUGCCCUGGAGAAAGAAGCUGAAGAAUGGACCAGACGGGCUGGAGAAGCUGUCGUCUCUAUUCAAGAUAUCACAGUGAAUUAUUUUAAGGAGACAGUAAAAGCAUUAGCAGGAAUGCAGAAAGAAAUGGAACAGGAUGUGAAGAGAUUUGGCCAGGCUGCCUGGGCCACAGCAAUUCCCAGGUUGGAAAAACUUAAGCUAAUGCUAGCUCAAGAGACUCUGCAACUCAUGAGAGCGAAAGAGUUAUGUUUAAAUCACAAAAGAGCUGAAAUUCAGGGAAAGAUGGAAGAUCUUCCAGAACAAGAAAAAAAUAUAAAUGUUGUAGAUGAAUUAGCAAUACAAUUUUAUGAAAUUCAGUUAGAACUAUAUGAAGUUAAAUUUGAGAUAUUAAAAAACAAAGAAAUACUGCUUACUACACAGUUGGACUCUCUUGAAAGACUUAUAAAAGAAAAACAGGAUGAAGUUGUCUAUUACGAUCCAUGUGAAAGUCCAGAGGAACUUAGUCAUUGACUGUGGUGGGGCUGCAGGACGAUAAGAAUUCGGAAGUGAAAGAACUCAGAAGGCAGUGCCAGCAGCUGGAGUCUAUUAAACGGGGCAGGAUCUGUGUCAAAAGAGCUUCUCUCCAGAGUAGAAAGAGACGGGGUUUCGCCAUGUCGGCUAGGCUCGUCUUGAACUCCUGACCUCAAGUGAUCCGCCCACCUUGGCCUCCCAAAGUCCUGGGAUUACAGGUGUGAGCCACCACCCCCGGACCACAGGAUCAGUGCGAAGAAAAUCAUUGGCUCAGAUUGCAACAGGCUGAAGAAAGCAUAAGAUAUUCUCGUCAGCAUCACAGUAUUCAGAUGAAAAGAGACAAGAUAAAAAGGAGCAAAAGAAAAAAGAAUGGAUCAACCAAGAACGUCAAACACUCCAACAAUUGAGAGCAUUUAAAGAUGUAAGUUUUAUAAACAAUCACCUCAUCUACACUUCUGGGGAAAUAAAUGAAGACCGCUCUAAAGAGGAAAGUAUUAAGAACAGGUCAUUCAGAACAUGUAACAUUUAAAAAAUAACAUUAUUUCUGGUAUAUCAAUAAAAAGCAACAACAAAAAUAGAAUAUCAGUGAUUCAAAACCCAUGAUAUAAAAUAACUGCUGUUUUUGACAUCACAACACGCUUGGGUUCCUGCUCUGCACUCUUCACUGAGUAGUCCUUACUGGCACUGGUGGUUUAGAUUGGCAGGGAAAACUGAAAACUGUUCAACUCCCUUGACUUUAGCUGGCAUUUCCUCUCAUUUGUAAUAAACAAUUCUUUAAAAUGUUAUCCAGGCAGCAUUGUGAUAUAAGUGUAGUGAAAGUGCCCAGUUAAAAGUAAAAUGUGUUGUUUUUUUUUUUGAUAUCUACAACUUUCUUUUUUCUUUUAAAGUAUAUACUUAAGAGGAUGAUGUUAUUUUUUUAUGCCCUCUGUUCCAGGCCUACAUUUGUAUUUCCUCCACAAAAUGAUCCUCAGUCUGUAAUUUUUGUUCUAUUUGACUUUAUUAUUAGAGAUAAAUUCCUUUAAUUAAAAAAAAGCUACUAUGAAGGUUG
rnacentral:lncRNA from 1 species